rnacentral:rRNA from 1 species
UUCCAGACUCCUACGGGAGGCAGCAGUCGAGAAUCAUUCACAAUGGGGGAAACCCUGAUGGUGCGACGCCGCGUGGAGGAUGAAGGUUUUCGGAUUGUAAACUCCUUUUGUUAGAGAAGAUGAUGACGGUAUCUAACGAAUAAGCACCGGCUAACUCCGUGCCAGCAGCCGCGGUAAUACGGAGGGUGCAAGCGUUACUCGGAAUCACUGGGCGUAAAGAGCGCGUAGGCGGGAUAGCAAGUCAGAUGUGAAAUCCUAUGGCUUAACCAUAGAACUGCAUUUGAAACUGUUAUUCUAGAGUAUGGGAGAGGUAGGUGGAAUUCUUGGUGUAGGGGUAAAAUCCGUAGAGAUCAAGAGGAAUACUCGUUGCGAAGGCGACCUGCUAGAACAUAACUGACGCUGAUGCGCGAAAGCGUGGGGAGCAAACAGGAUUAGAUCCCCCCGUA